rnacentral:rRNA from 1 species
CAGCAGCCGCGGUAAUUCGUAGGUGGCAAGCGUUGUCCGGAAUUAUUGGGCGUAAAGGGCUCGCAGGCGGUUUCUUAAGUCUGAUGUGAAAGCCCCCGGCUCAACCGGGGAGGGUCAUUGGAAACUGGGAAACUUGAGUGCAGAAGAGGAGAGUGGAAUUCCACGUGUAGCGGUGAAAUGCGUAGAGAUGUGGAGGAACACCAGUGGCGAAGGCGACUCUCUGGUCUGUAACUGACGCUGAGGAGCGAAAGCGUGGGGAGCGAACAGGAUUAGAUACCCCAGUAGUCCCUGUCUCUUAUAC